GGAUUAGAUACCCUGGUAGUCCACGCCGUAAACGAUGGACACUAGUUGUUGGAUUUAGAUUCAGUGACUAAGCGAAAGUGAUAAGUGUCCCACCUGGGGAGUACGAUCGCAAGAUUGAAACUCAAAGGAAUUGACGGGGGCCCGCACAAGCGGUGGAGCAUGUGGUUUAAUUCGAUGAUACGCGAGGAACCUUACCAGGGCUUAAAUGUGGAAUGACAGGGCUAGAGAUAGCUUUUUCUUCGGACAUUUCACAAGGUGCUGCAUGGUUGUCGUCAGCUCGUGCCG
rnacentral:rRNA from 1 species